UGACCCCGAUCACGAUCCCCUUGUUCUCUCCCUCUCCUCUCGCGACCCCGACCCCGACCCCGAUCCCAACCCCGCCGCCGGCGAUGCCUCCCCCACACCUUCUUCCUCUUGUUCAAGUCAAGAUCACGCCAAGGAGGUCGUUCGAGCUGCUCUUGUCGCCACACCUCCCACGCCCGAUCCUGGCGAGGACAUAGCAGCCGGCGCCCUCGCGCACGACGGCGGCAGCGAGGUCGGCGCCCUCGUGGAGCGGCACGCGGCGCUGGCGGCAGGGUCUGGCGAGCGAUGCCGAGAUCUGCUGCGGCGCGACGCCGACGCGGUCCGCCACGACCGCCUGCAGCUUCCGCACGCCCAGCGACGGCUACACGGUCACCGUGCCCAGGUCGGAGGUGCAUCGGGAUGGGGACUGCCACCGGGCGGUGCAGCGCCACACCGACUGCAAGGACUCGUGGCCCGGCCAGUGGGACAUCUCCAGCGCCGGCCACAUCUCCGUCGUGGACUCCUCCGUCUCCUCCGCGCGUUUGCAGGAAGCUUAAUAAAGCUUGGACAGUGGUGAGGGCUCCGAUGGUGGUGAUGUUGUUGGGCUGGUUGUGGCCUCGUGUGCGGCAGCAACGGCCUCCCUCCUGUAACCUCUAUCGAUGGCCAUGGCAUGGCAACCUCCACGGACGAGGAAAGGAGAGGAGGACAAGCAGUCCCUGACGCCAAGUAUUCCUCAGGGUCCCAACACAAGGACAAGCAGCAGCAACAACAUCUUCUUCCAUUCAGCCCAAGGACAAGCAGCAGCAGCGACCACAGCAGAUGCAGCCAUGCAGGAGAGGACGAUGACGCUCAGCAGCAGUAGCAGCUCAAGGCGGCGGUGCUGAUUAGAUUUGAUCCUCAAGGACACCCAUGGAUCUUGCUGCAGGAGGUGGGUUUUGGAGAACCAACCUGAGAUGCAGGAGGUGGGUUCUUGUGCUAUGCUCUGCUCGAGCAGGAGGGGCAGGAGGGGUUUGCUCCUCUACUCCUAGGGCGGCCAAGAGGUCCUGCCCCGAGCUCAAGCACGUCCAUGCCGACCCACCACGACAGCAGGUGCCGUCCUUCCAUGGACGAGGAGGACAACGACCUGGACCUCGACGGCGACGUUGUCAACCCCGCACAAGUCCUGAUGAGGCCAUGAUGCUUACCUUGCUGGAGCGCAUCAACCCCGACCAUGGCACCACAUUCACAGUCUUGAGGUAGCCGUGCUGCAACUGCAUCAACGCUAUCUUCUCCGACUAGAUAAGUCUAGGUCUAUCCCAUUAUUUUCUUUUGUUACUUGGUCGAUGAGCCAUGAUGCCAUGACAUAUAUUAUUGUGUUGAUUCCCUAUGUGAUGCAUAAGCUAUGUUGUUUUGUUUUGAGUCUGUUGUAAAUUGAAAUUGAUAAUGAUUUGUGUAAAAUUAGUGUAGAACAUAUAUCUUGUUAUCUUAAUUCGUUCGUGCCGUGCUCAAUGAACCAUCUAAGAUUGAAUCAUUUUCUGCGUUCAACUUCUUGAACCAUUCUGGGAGUUUUGGUAUUCAUGCAACAACUGUGCGAUCUUGUCUUUUGUGAUCUUGUCUUUUGUGUUGUUUCUGUGAGCUGGUCCUUGUGGUUAUUACUGUUACAUGUUACAUGUAGAGAUGCUUCAUGAUUUAGUCCCUAGCUGCUUUCUAUAUUUUGUUUUUAUUUUGUUUCUAACUCUUUUGGUUUAUUGUUAGAUGCCUUUGUUCAGCCUGUACGAACAUAUCCAGAAAUGGUGUUUCCUCUCAUUGAAGGAGCUUUGGCUUGAAGUGACGAAGUCUGGAGUAUAUUUGUAGUAGUAGUUAUAUGUUGUGAUAGUAUCACAUGCAAUGGUGAAAUGAAUUAUGUAAAGAUUGUGCUAUUAGCCAAAAUUGGCAUGUGGUUUGAUAAUUUUCAUUUGUUUGCUGUUCUGACUGAAA